UACGUAGGUGGCAAGCGUUGUCCGGAAUUAUGGGGCGUAAAGCGCGCGCAGGCGGUCUUUUAAGUCUGAUGUGAAAGCCCCCGGCUCAACCGGGGAGGGUCAUUGGAAACUGGGAGACUUGAGUGCAGAAGAGAAGAGUGGAAUUCCACGUGUAGCGGUGAAAUGCGUAGAGAUGUGGAGGAACACCAGUGGCGAAGGCGACUCUUUGGUCUGUAACUGACGCUGAGGCGCGAAAGCGUGGGGAGCAAACAGG
rnacentral:rRNA from 1 species